rnacentral:snoRNA from 1 species
UCCUAUGAUGGCAUGGAAUCUUUGAGACCUGAUCCUUAUGAUGACAACCAUAAGCAUAUCUUCUGAGGAC